rnacentral:rRNA from 1 species
GACGAACGCUGGCGGCGUGCCUAAUACAUGCAAGUAGGACGCAGUUGCGAACGGGUGAGUAACGCGUAGGUAACUACCUAUUAGAGGGGGAUAACUAUUGGAAACGAUAGCUAAUACCGCAUACUAGUAGAUUUACCUGCUUUGUAUUAGCUAGUAGGUAGGGUAAUGGCCUACCUAGUCAACGAUACAUAGCCGACGUGAGAGGGUGAACGGCCAAACUGGGACUGAGACACGGCCCAGACUCCUCCGGUAGGCAGCAGUAGGGAAUCUUCGGCAAGGGGGGGAACCCUGACCGAGCAACGCCGCGUGAGUGAAGAAGGUUUUCGGAUCGUAAAGCGCUGUUGUUAAGGAAGCGGUAAUUAAAGAGAAAGGGACGGCUAACUACGUGCCAGCAGACGCGGUAAUAG